rnacentral:misc_RNA from 1 species
AUGAACGCAAGUGAAUUCCGAAGGAGAGGGAAGGAGAUGGUGGAUUACAUGGCCAACUACAUGGAAGGCAUUGAGGGACGCCAGGUCUACCCUGACGUGGAGCCCGGGUACCUGCGGCCGCUGAUCCCUGCCGCUGCCCCUCAGGAGCCAGACACGUUUGAGGACAUCAUCAACGACGUUGAGAAGAUAAUCAUGCCUGGGGCGGCAAGCCCAGCAUGCACAGAGCUGGAGACUGUGAUGAUGGACUGGCUCGGGAAGAUGCUGGAACUACCAAAGGCAUUUUUGAAUGAGAAAGCUGGAGAAGGGGGAGGAGUGAUCCAGGGAAGUGCCAGUGAAGCCACCCUGGUGGCCCUGCUGGCCGCUCGGACCAAAGUGAUCCAUCGGCUGCAGGCAGCGUCCCCAGAGCUCACACAGGCCGCUAUCAUGGAGAAGCUGGUGGCUUACUCAUCCGAUCAGGCACACUCCUCAGUGGAAAGAGCUGGGUUAAUUGGUGGAGUGAAAUUAAAAGCCAUCCCCUCAGAUGGCAACUUCGCCAUGCGUGCGUCUGCCCUGCAGGAAGCCCUGGAGAGAGACAAAGCGGCUGGCCUGAUUCCUUUCUUUAUGGUUGCCACCCUGGGGACCACAACAUGCUGCUCCUUUGACAAUCUCUUAGAAGUCGGUCCUAUCUGGUGAAAAAGAGAACAGACUUAACGGGAGCCUUUAGACUGGACCCCACUUACCUGAAGCACAGCCAUCAGGAUUCAGGGCUUAUCACUGACUACCGGCAUUGGCAGAUACCACUGGGCAGAAGAUUUCGCUCUUUGAAAAUGUGGUUUGUAUUUAGGAUGUAUGGAGUCAAAGGACUGCAGGCUUAUAUCCGCAAGCAUGUCCAGCUGUCCCAUGAGUUUGAGUCACUGGUGCGCCAGGAUCCCCGCUUUGAAAUCUGUGUGGAAGUCAUUCUGGGGCUUGUCUGCUUUCGGCUAAAGGGUUCCAACAAAGUGAAUGAAGCUCUUCUGCAAAGAAUAAACAGUGCCAAAAAAAUCCACUUGGUUCCAUGUCACCUCAGGGACAAGUUUGUCCUGCGCUUUGCCAUCUGUUCUCGCACGGUGGAAUCUGCCCAUGUGCAGCGGGCCUGGGAACACAUCAAAGAGCUGGCGGCCGACGUGCUGCGAGCAGAGAGGGAGUAGGAGUGAAGCCAGCUGCAGGAAUCAAAAAUUGAAGAGAGAUAUAUCUGAAAACUGGAAUAAGAAGCAAAUAAAUAUCAUCCUGCCUUCAUGGAACUCAGCUGUCUGUGGCUUCCCAUGUCUUUCUCCAAAGUUAUCCAGAGGGUUGUGAUUUUGUCUGCUUAGUAUCUCAUCAACAAAGAAAUAUUAUUUGCUAAUUAAAAAGUUAAUCUUCAUGGCCAUAGCUUUUAUUCAUUAGCUGUGAUUUUUGUUGAUUAAAACAUUAUAGAUUUUCAUGUUCUUGCAGUCAUCAGAAGUGGUAGGAAAGCCUCACUGAUAUAUUUUCCAGGGCAAUCAAUGUUCACGCAACUUGAAAUUAUAUCUGUGGUCUUCAAAUUGUCUUUUGUCAUGUGGCUAAAUGCCUAAUAAACAAUUCAAGUGAAAUACUAA